GGCUGGCGAGGCGUUCGCACGCGAAGGAAACUUGCGAGGCGUCAGGGCGGCCCCGCGGAGGAGCGGGUCGUAGAGUGGGAGCCCUCAACUCCUAGAAAUUCAGGUCCUCCAUGAGAAUUAGGGGAAGGGGGAUGGCCAAAGACGGCCAGACGUCCACCGAGCUUCCCCAGGCCUCUCCCCUCCUCCAGCCGGGCCACAACGCGGGCUCCGCGGCCCGGGGCAACAUAGCCAGGGUGUCUGGGCGGGAGGCAGGGCCCGGCGCGGAGGAAGGAGCCUGGGGCCGCCGCCGCCCCGCCCACCCCAGCGAGGCGGAGCCGGCGCCCGGAGGAGCAGGAGGAGGAGGAGGAGGAGGAGGAGGAGAGGUCGGAGCCGUCUCCAGGAGCCCUUAGAGACCGAGUCCCGGCGGCGACGGCGGGGCAGCGCACCAGCAGGCGUAUUCAUUCCACUUAAAACCUGAAAACAUUGGACCACACAAAGUCUUACUGAUUUCAGGUAAAAACAAAAAUUGAAGAUGUCCAGCAAAACAGCAAGUACCAACAAUAUAGCCCAGGCAAGGAGAACUGUGCAACAGUUAAGAUUAGAAGCCUCCAUUGAAAGAAUAAAGGUUUCGAAGGCAUCAGCGGACCUCAUGUCCUACUGUGAGGAACAUGCCAGGAGUGACCCUUUGCUGAUAGGAAUACCAACUUCAGAAAACCCUUUCAAGGAUAAAAAAACUUGCAUCAUCUUAUAGUGGAAUAGAGAAACAGCUCCUCGCCUCUUCUCAACAAAGCAAAUUAUGAGCAGCUCCUUGAAGAGAUUUACCUUCAGCUUAUUUGGUAACCACUGCUAAUAACUAAAAUGUUCUCAACUUGGAAUAACAGACUCUGAAGUCUCUAUUUUCCAAGUUGUCCUUUCUCUUAAAAUACCCUUUACUGAUUUAAUACAGAAUAACAAUCUUAUUUUCCACUUGGUAACUAUAGCUUUAUGUUGGGUUACUGUUUAAGGAAAGUUGAUCUGGGCCUUUUUAAAAACAUAAUUAUAUACUUUAAAUAUACAAUGGAUUCCGAUAUGUCAGGACCUAAAUUGCCUAAGCACCUGUCAAAUUAAAAUGCCAAAAUUAAUUGAAAUCCUAAAGCCUUUAUAUCAUAUUCUUUAUAAGGCGUGUGCCAGCCUGUAUAGUAUAUAAGGGAGAGGGAUGUUUUGUGUAUAUAUAUGCCUUUGUGUAUACACUUAUCAAAGCUAUUUUCUUAUGAAAACAUCCCUCUUUCCAUACCAUCAGUUUCUCAGUUCCAGAAGUUAUACCUUUACUUUGAGCUGUGUAUAGGUAGAAUAAAAAAAUUCCUUUCAUAUCGUUAUUGUACAAAAAGUAAAGAGUAUCCUAAAGAUUGUAUUCAUUGUAAUCAAGUAAUGCAGUCAUCUCUCCUCUCUUGAAAUCUUGCUGGACCUCUUAGGCUACAAUAAACUGCACCAAGCUAAACUGACAGUCCUUCAAUAAUAUGAGACAUUAAUUUACAAGGACCCUUUUGGGCUUCAAUGAUGCUGAGUCUGGAAAAAGGGAGGAGACCCUUGGGAGGACCCCAUGCAGCUGUGCUCCCAGGGCUCAUGUUCUCUACUGGAUUAGGGAUAGGCACCUCUGAAAUCUCCACCCUGAUCAUUGGAAUGAAACGGAGUGAACAUGAGCCCGGCUGAGAGAGGAGCAGGAAUGUGUGAAAACCAGCUGCUCUCCUUGUCCCAGCGUUGUGAUUGAGCCCUCUGUCUUGCUCUCUCUGCCUUCCCUGUAUCUUUCCUAUCUUACCAGAGCAUCUGUUUGCAGAAUUAAUACCACCUUCCCCAGCCGCAGGUGUGUGGAACACGGUGAGAAAAAAAAAUUUUUUUAAAAAAAUGCAAAGUUGUCAGGAUGCUUAAGCUCUUUUCAGAUAUCUGCAGUUUCAUCCCUACCUUGUUCAUACACCAUCCAAGAGGCCUAUAGGCUACCCAAGAGAGCCUUGGAUUCAGUGGUACACUCCUUGGGCCCAAGGGCUUCAGCAACUGUGUAUGGAGUUCCUUGAUUUUCCUCUGGGCCCAAAUACAGCCCUCACACCCUUGGAAUUUCCGGGUGUGGGGGUAGCCCCAAAAGGAGGAAUCUCCUAUGGCCAAUAAGGUAUCUUGACUUUAUCAAAGUAGAAGAGAGAGUCACUUCGCAGUCAAAUCAUACACACGGCCUUUGAUAUUUUAAUUCAUCUUUAGUUCGUUAAAAGUAACUACUAAGGAAAGGUUAAAAACUUCCUCUCAAAAAGGAAUCAACCCCAAGAAGCAAUUAUUUACAAUGAUUUUCCCAAAUUUUGUACAAUCUGUCCUGGAAAGCAAACCCCUUUUAAAAUCUAAUGUCUGGGCUUUGAGUAUUAGCUCAUUUAGGGUGAACAAAAUGCAUUACUGUUUUUAAAUUGCCCACAUUUAUUCAGUAUUUCUCCAAGUUGCUAUCUCCUCAGCCUUGUGAAUGGCCCUCACUUUUCUGAGGCCAUGUGAAAAUCACGGCACUGCCCUUAGCCUUGUGUCGCCUGCUUUUUCGUUCUGCAAUAUGCCCAGUUCCCAAAUCAAUUAUAAGUACCUGUUUAGGAGAGAGAAAGAUUUUACCUCUCAAAGGGUGAGAUUGGAAAUUUACACUAAAAAGACAACUUUACAUUUAAUGCUUCACUUAAUGAAACAUUCUUUUUUUAUAAGUCUAUUUUUCUACUCAGUUUCAGAACACUAAUCUGAUUUUCACUCUGAUUUUUAACGUUUCUUUAAAUAUUUAUAAUGUAGCUUCUUUCAAAAUAUUUUCAUGAAAAAUUACUUUUAUUAUACCAUUAUGUGCACAUUAUUGGUAGCAGGCAUAGUUUAUUAUUUAGUACUGAAACAUGCUCUUUUACCUAACAGUAAACAAGUAUGUUUUGAUAUAUAUCUGUUAAUAUGCUUAUAGUGGUAAGAAAUGGACUUGAGGUCCCAGGAGAUUUCAUUUUCUUUGCCCUGGUCAAAUACAAUAAAGGCUAUGAGUAUAAAUAUGUAACUUCCUAACCAGGUGUAGGGCAUGUUCAUGAAUAUCAAAUCUUUUGAUGCUGGACCCAAGAGGGGAAAAAUUGUAGCUAAAUGUUGAUUUACUUAUAACUAGACGUCUGUGUGAGAAAAUAUAUGUAUACGUAUAUAUGAUACGCAGAAGUCACUUUUAUUUAUCAGGCUUUAUUCUCCUUACAAAGCCACAGUUUAACUGUCUGCAGCAGUUGGUUUAUGUUAAUGAUAGACAAAUGCCCAGGGUUUGUUAUUUUUUCCAUCUACCACUGUAAUGAUAUACUUUCUCACGUAUAUACAUGCAACUUCUUGGCUUCAUUUCCAUGAAGCUAUUUCAAUAUAUUCAGUAUACUUUGUCCUUAAUGCUGCUUCUGUUAGCAGUGAUCUCUUUCUUUUUUUCAUUCUUACAUCUUCAUUAGUUCAUCAUAAAUCUGUCCACUUGAGGCCUCAGGACCAUGGCAAAAUUUCAUGACUCCGAAGUGUUUUACAGAAACAUUUUUUAAAUAAGGGAAAUAUUUUAUAUAUCAGAUGGUUCACAAGUGAUGGGUCAUAGCUAGUUUUUUUUUCCUUCUAAAAAAUGUCAGGUUUUAAAAAUCACUUACCUUAUUAAAAUGAAAAGUGCCAUACUUACCUUUUAAAGGAAAGACCUGAUUUGCUUUUUCUCUAUUUAGACUGUUUUUGUACUUUACUAAUCUUUAAACUAUCAGGAAAAAAACCAAAACUUUAUACCAAUGAUUUGGUAAUUUUGAGGCAUAGGGUAGCUUACAUAGUGGAGGAUGUGCCAAAUAUUCUCUUCAAAUGCCACCUUCUUAACCAGUUUAUAACUAAAAUAGUGUUAUCUGACUAAUUCCUCUGAAUUUUGAUGUAAGAUCUAUACAGGCCCCCAAAAUGAUUAUAGUACAUGCCAGUCGUUUCUCAGUGAAAUAAAUACAAUAUCAGAGGACAUUAUGAGUUGUAUUGCUUUCUUUUAUGGUAGACCUGUUAAUGGGGGAAAAAAAAUACAUCACAUCAAAUAGAAUCUUGUAUCUGUGUGUUAAAAUAGAGCACUUACCUGAAGUCAGUGGCCUGGAUCAUAGCCCUGGAUCAUUUUCCAGUCUGUCCUGUGCUGUGUGACCUUGGACAAGGCGCUUCAUCUCUCUGAGCCUCUGUUUCUCCAUGUGUAAAACAAGGGGCUGCAGGAGAUGAUGGCUGAGAGCCCUUCCAGUUCCCAGAUGCCUUGGUCCAAAGACCCCACCCCUCUGCUGGUCCUGCCAACGUGUUGGUGCUAUAAGCUGCUUCAGAUAUAAAAUUGGUUUAUCUAUAAUGUUUAUUCAUUUAAUAGCUUCUAAAAGGCCUUUUUGUUAUACAGUGCUUUUUUUCUAGUUUUAUGGACUUGGUUACUGUAAUAAUGUCUUGUUUUUAGCCAUGUAAUUACAAACACAUAUUCUCUUGAUGUCUCAGUAAAUUUGCAUUUGAUAUAUCAUUGAUGAGAUUUUGUUGUUAUAUAAUAUUCUUCGGCUCCUCAUCUGUCCAGCAUCUUAUUAACCAUAACACUGUGAUCAUUGUUUGGAAAUAUGUCCUAUGGAAAGAAUAAAAGGAUUUACUUCACAGCUAGCAUGUUCACAGAUUUGAAAGAAGUUUCAUUAAAAGCGCCAUUGCUUUCUUUACUGCAUCAGUGCCUCGUUGUAGCAUCCUACCUGUGUUUUGCUCAAUAAAUGAAUAAAAUACCAUUUCUCUUCCCCUUUCCCUUCCUUCACUCAGUUAACAUUUUCUGAGCACCUCCUGGGAGCAAGCUGCUGAGAGUCAGGCUCCCAUGACACCCAAAUGAAUAAGACACACACCAGCCCAUGAGAAGGUCACAGUCUGAGCAAGGAGGGUGGGUAUGACAGAUAUGUAAACCAAUCAUCAUAGUAUCAUGUGGCAAGUGCCAUAACUCAGGUGAUCACAGAGUGCUGUGAGAGCCCAGAGGAAAGAGGGACUAGCUCCACAUUGACAAAGACCUCCCUCUGAAAAGGCUUCCAAGGGUGGUGAUGUUUGGGCUGAGUGAGAGAGGAACAGUAUGAGUUGGAAUUGAGGUCCUGGGAGGAGAUGAGAGGAGGAGAAAAGAGGACUGGAAGCCAGUGUGCAGAUGGCCCCCGAUCCUGCCCUCCCAUCCUGCUUGCCUAUCCUGAAACCAACAAGGGGGCUGGCUAGAGAGGCUGUUAAGGAGUGAGGUAAUAACUCUGACCUGUGGAGGGCUGUGUCCCAUCCUGAGACCAGCUGUGGCCAUGGAAACUGAUAACAAAUGGAAAGGUCAUUAGAUUGGUGGUGACUCAUAUUCACCAUGUGUUUGCUGAAGGUGCCCUGCCCCCUCUUCUGCCCGUUCCCCCAGGGCUGGGAUUCCCACAGAGAUGAGGGGAGGGCAAAAUCAAAGAAAAGGGCAGAGGCAGCCAUCAAGCCCCAGGCUAGGAACCAGGAAUGCUACACAGAUGGCCCCUGCUUCUGAGAACCAGCACUCCACACUUACAAGAAAGACAAUCUACUGAAUG